rnacentral:lncRNA from 1 species
GCCAACAGGGGAGCAGCCUCCGCCGCCGCUGGGGGCAAGGAUGCUUCGCCGCAUGAUGCUCUCCACAACAGGCGUCGCGCUGAUUCUGUCGUACUGGUCCGGUCCAACGACACUGUAGCUGUCCGAGUCCAACGCAUCGCCGCCGUAACGGCUGCUGCUAUAGCCUAAGGAACCGGACCCCAUACGGCUGUUGUUACUGAUACUUUCGUAACCUGAGUUGCUUGGUCGAUUUUCGUCACCGCCUAGGCUGUUCUGUCGGUUAGUAUUGAUUCGCCGCCGGCGCCCAAUGUUCAACCUGGUGGUGGUGGAGGUAGGCGGGUCUGGCCGUCACGUUUGGCAGAGGACGAAACCCACUAGCUAGGGCAGGCCAAGGCACGGCGCGGGACGCAUCCCCAGCUCCCCUCGCGUCUCAACCCGCCAUCAGCGUUAUCGCCGGCGCCAGCCCUGGCUUCCCAUAUGCACUCACCGAUAGGGUUUGACCUCCGGUAGAUCAGGCAGCAGGAAGUGCGAGGCGUAGAACUUGGCGGCAGCGUUGCGCUGAAUGGCGCCGUCGGUGUUGCCCUCGUCGUUGGCCUCCCGCACGUUCUGGAAGGCGUCCAGGAGCUGCUGCUUGGUGACCGUCAGGCCUGCAGCACGGUAUGUGUGUGUGAGGGUGUGUGUGUGUGUGAGAGAGAGAGUGUGUGUGAG